rnacentral:rRNA from 1 species
CACGAACGCUGGCGGCAGGCUUAACACAUGCAAGUCGAGCGCCCCGCAAGGGGAGCGGCAGACGGGUGAGUAACGCGUGGGAAUCUACCCAUCUCUACGGAAUAACGCAUGGAAACGUGUGCUAAUACCGUAUACGUCCUUCGGGAGAAAGAUUUAUCGGAGAUGGAUGAGCCCGCGUUGGAUUAGCUAGUUGGUGGGGUAAAGGCCUACCAAGGCGACGAUCCAUAGCUGGUCUGAGAGGAUGAGCAGCCACACUGGGACUGAGACACGGCCCAGACUCCUUCGGGAGGCAGCAGUGGGGAAUAUUGGACAAUGGGCGCAAGCCUGAUCCAGCCAUGCCGCGUGAGUGAUGAAGGCCCUAGGGUUGUAAAGCUCUUUCACCGGUGAAGAUAAUGACGGUAACCGGAGAAGAAGCCCCGGCUAACUUCGUGCCAGCCGCCGCAGUAACAC